rnacentral:rRNA from 1 species
AUGACUGCUAAUACCGCAUAUGCCAUAGUGAGGACAUCCUCACAGUGGGAAAGGAGAAAUCCGCUGACAGAUGGGCUUGCGUCUGAUUAGCUAGUUGGUGUGGUAACGGCAUACCAAGGCAACGAUCAGUAGCCGGACUGAGAGGUUGAACGGCCACAUUGGGACUGAGAUACGGCCCAGACUCCUACGGGAGGCAGCAGUCGGGAAUAUUGCGCAAUGGAGGAAACUCUGACGCAGUGACGCCGCGUGCAGGAAGAAGGUUUUCGGAUUGUAAACUGCUUUAGACAGGGAAGAAAAAGGACAGUACCUGUAGAAUAAGCUCCGGCUAACUACGUGCCAGCAGCCGCGGUAAUACGUAGGGAGCAAGCGUUAUCCGGAUUUAUUGGGUGUAAAGGGUGCGUAGACGGGAAAUUAAGUUAGCUGUGAAAUCCCUCGGCUUAACUGAGGAACUGCAACUAAAACUGAUUUUCUUGAGUGCUGGAGAGGAAAGUGGAAUUCCUAGUGUAGCGGUGAAAUGCGUAGAUAUUAGGAGGAACACCAGUGGCGAAGGCGACUUUCUGGACAGUAACUGACGUUGAGGCACGAAAGUGUGGGGAGCAAACAGGAUUAGAUACCCUGGUAGUCCACACCGUAAACGAUGGAUACUAGGUGUAGGGGAUGAAUA